GACGAACGCUGGCGGCGUGCUUAACACAUGCAAGUCGAACGGAAAGGCCCUGCUUUUGUGGGGUGCUCGAGUGGCGAACGGGUGAGUAACACGUGAGUAACCUGCCCUUGACUUUGGGAUAACUUCAGGAAACUGGGGCUAAUACCGGAUAGGAGCUCCUGCUGCAUGGUGGGGGUUGGAAAGUUUCGGCGGUUGGGGAUGGACUCGCGGCUUAUCAGCUUGUUGGUGGGGUAGUGGCUUACCAAGGCUUUGACGGGUAGCCGGCCUGAGAGGGUGACCGGCCACAUUGGGACUGCGAUACGGCCCAGACUCCUACGGGCGGCAGCAGUGGGGAAUAUUGCACAAUGGGCGGACGCCUGAUGCAGCAACGCCGCGUGCGGGAUGCCGGCCUUCGGGUUGUAAACCGCUUUCGCCUGUGACGAAGCGUGAGUGACGGUAAUGGGUAAAGAAGCACCGGCUAACUACGUG
rnacentral:rRNA from 1 species